AACUUCUGUCUGAGAUGGCGCCGAUCGAUCCCCUCUCGCCCUUCAGUGUGAAGAACACAAAUGGAAACAACGGAAAGCAGCGAAGGCUCAGAUUCAAGCAGAAGUUAAAGCUUCUGAAGAAGUUUCCAGGCAGGCUGAAUCAAAAGCUACAUCUGAUCCUGAGCUCAAACUGCAGCAUGAAAGAGAAGCGGCACACCAGGCAUUGCUUAAGGAAAAAAAUCACGAGAGAAGCUCGGAGGAAAGAAAAGGCUGAGAGGGAUGCAAUUGCUG
rnacentral:misc_RNA from 1 species